rnacentral:rRNA from 1 species
UACGUAGGGUCCGAGCGUUGUCCGGAAUCAUUGGGCGUAAAGAGCGUGUAGGCGGCUCGAUAAGUCUGCUGUGAAAGUCCAGGGCUCAACCCUGGAAGGCCGGUGGAAACUGUCGGGCUAGAGUCCGGAAGAGGCGAGUGGAAUUCCCGGUGUAGCGGUGAAAUGCGCAGAUAUCGGGAGGAACACCAAUGGCGAAGGCAGCUCGCUGGGACGGUACUGACGCUGAGACGCGAAAGCGUGGGGAGCAAACAGG